CGAUCAGCACUCUCCCUGCUAAUUAUGUGAGGUCCAGGAAGAUGGGGGCCCGGUUUCUCUGGUUCAUUGCCGUAGCCAGUCGGUCGCCAUAGCGGUCCAGGAGCAUCAGGACCACUCCACUGGUCCAGCCAAAGCCCUCUGGAGAGAGGAAUGGCUAGUAGGGCAGGAUCUCUGGGGAAGGCCCUCAAGCCCUAUUUUAGGGGGUGUGAGAUCUCCACCCAGGGGCUCUAGAACUGCCUAACCCCAGGAGGACAAAGGAGCUCCAGGCAGGCUCCUCCCUGUGGACCCGCAUCCACAGGAGGAAACAGGCCCAGACAGCGGAGGUCAUGGCCAGUUGUGGGGAGAGCAGAGCCCUGUAGUUCCUAUGGGAUGUGGGCCCACUCACCUGAACUUCAUACUCCCUCCACCACCUGGCUGACCACCGUUGCUGAUGUCAUACUGGGAACAAAAGGACAGGCUCUAAGGUCAGGCACUACCCACCCCACCCCCGCGCCCCCUCACCUCAGCCCUCUAGGGAAAGCCAGAAACGGGAGCCCCUUUGGGAGAAGCUGCCCUGGCCUGCAGUGCCCAAGAAUGGCCACUAGGUGUCACCACUGUCCCCGGGCUUUGCAAAGCCUGGCAAUUCCCCCAUCUCCCCAUGGGGAGGAGGCCCAGGAGGGUCAGGGCUCAGGAGCAGCUCACCUUCUCAUACAUGGCUGACUUUCUGGAGUAGACCUCAAAGUUGGUUCGGAUCCAAUUCUGAGCCAGCUGGAAAGCCACUGCCUGGGACCGAGGUGAAGGACACUUGGCCAGACCUAGACCCCACCCUGCUCCAGGCAGGACCCUGAGCCACCUGAGUCCCCAACCCAGAGGGAGCAUAGGCCUGAACCUUACUCUCCUCAAGGAGGGAAAGAGGCCCGAGCCUCAAGACCUCCAUCUUGAAACCACGUGAAAAGCCAACGUGCUCUUUCCCUAGGGCCUGGGUUUGGAGAGAGAAAGGAGGGCUGGUUCCCUGGACAGGUGGGGGCAGACACAAAUGUCUGCUGAGGGGGAAGCCAUGAGAACAGAAGAGCCAGAGAAAGCCCUCACAUCCUCUGUUCACGCCUCCCCAGUACCAGGGGGCUGACCCUCUAGAUGCAAGGGGGGCAGGCCCUGGGAUGUGCCCCACUGCUGCCUCCCUACCUCUGAUGACCAGGUCCUGCAAGGGGGCCCAGGCAUUGGGGAAGUCCCACUGCUGGCCUGUCUUCUGGAGAGAGGUCGGGAUCCCGUACUGAUAUUUCAGAGCCUUGCCCACGACUCCUGGGACAGAAAAGCAGCUGUCUCAAAAAGAAGUGUGGCUGAAUGGAUAAAAGUCCAAAGUCUUUCCAUGUUCAAGCUCAUAGUCAAACCAGGUAUCUUUUUCCUCAUCUCAUAGGAUGGCUUUCAAAACAGCCCAGUGCUAUUUCUGCAAAUUUCAGUAAUUCAUAGCUUUGGAGGCAUAUUCUUGGGUGGAACUAGUUUAGAUAGAAGGUGCAUACCCUUGUAUUCUACUGCAGUUUUCUAGAAAGAAAUUGAUGGGGGGGGAGGCGAUAGAAGGGGAAAGUUUACUUCUAACUCCUCAUCGCCUCCCUGAAGCCCUUACCAGCCUCCUCCCAGGUAAACUCACGCAGACCUGCUUCUUAUACCUCUAAUUGCUCACUCCCCAGCUGGGCUCUACCUUCCCUGAGCUAAUCAGCUAGGCCUCGGCUCAGGAAUAUUUGCCACUGCUGAUUGUGGCCUGUGGUCAGCACUGUCUGUUAUGUACUUUCUCUCCUUUGUCUGAGGCUCAGAGAGGGCAGAGGUUUGCCCGAGGCUGCACAGCAUCUGUCCUCCCAGCCGGCCCCCGGGGCCCUGGCACCUGCUGGCACAGAGUGGUGCUCCAGGACCCUUCCCCACCCAGCCCCACAGGAGCAAACCCAGCUCUGUUCCACGACGCCCCUCAAAAUAACUGACAGCCCACCGCUCUCCCACUGAAACCACACUCACUGGGACAGAACCAGGAGGCCAUGAACGGAGAAAGUACCUGAAGGAGGCAGCCAUCUCUACUCUGGUCCUACAGUUGCUCUCCCGAGGCCACGUUCAUGUACGCCUGUCUCAUUGGGACAGCAGUUUGGGGUUUCCUUUCUCCUUACAAAGAACACUGCCAGUUACUUCACCAGCAAAAAGGGGUUCGUUUAGGAAUAGCCGAGAACGGCCAUCUGGGCUGAGUAAAGCACAGGAAAACCGUGGGCAAGUCAGCAGAACGCAGAACAGGAACGCUGCCUUGUGGAGGAAGGGGGGCGUUGGGAAGGCUGCUGCGAACAACGAGCCCUUUGCGGUAAACUGGGGCGUUCUGAGUACGGUGGCUUUUCAUUGGCUGAGUUGUGACAGCCUCUCAUUGGCUGGGCUGUUGCUGGGGAGGAAGAAACCUACCCCUUCAGCUGGGAGAGGAAGGCAGCAUCCACUUGCUAGUUGGGAUCUGCACUUGACAAAGAGUCAGGGCAGGAGGGCUUCACCUGCCAGCCUCCCGGAGGUUGUGAAUGAGGUUUCCUUUCAUUCAUUUUCACACUCCACGCCUGGGCCAGAGGAUGCGGGCCCUGAGUCUCUGGGCCUGGCUUGGUGGUGGCCCCAGAGACGAGGCCAGGGGGGUGGAGGACGUGGUCCCCCUGGCCGGUCCUGAUAACGGCCAUUGUUUGGUGAGCACCUGCCAGGGCCGGGCUGGGUUAGCCAGGACUCCAGAGGCCGCCACGUGGGGCCGAGCAGACCAGGCUCCCGCAGCUCAGGCCUUGACCUCAGCCGUACCCGGCUGACCAGCAGCAGAGCCAGAACUCGUGCUCUGGCUCCCUGGCUCCAAAGCCGCAGCUGCCAGGCGCCCCCCCCCCCCCCCCGGCUGGCCUCUUCCGGACUCCACACCGUGGGGGUCCUGGGCUCCCUGUGCCCUCUCUCCUGACUGCAGGUGAAGCCAGAGGUCCUCAGCCACCCAGAGCAGUUCUCUCUGCUCUACUCAGAACACCCCUUCGUUGUGCCUGGUGGGCGCUUUGUCGAAUUCUACUACUGGGACUCCUACUGGGUGAUGGAGGGGCUGCUCCUCUCUGAGAUGCCCGAGACCGUGAAGGGCAUGCUGCAGAACUUCCUGGACCUGGUGCGACUAUAAGAGGGGAUGGGCUUGGCGCUGGAUUGGCCUUGGCCUUGGCCGCUGGGCAGAUGCCCCUCAGCAGGUCUCCUUCUCGGCAGCUAUGGACAUGUCCCCAACGGGGCCCGCGUGUACUCCCUGCAGCGGAGCCAGUCCCCCCUGCUGACUCUCAUGAUGCACUCCUACGUGGCUCACACCAACGAUACCUCCUUCCUGAGGUGGGCACCCCGGCCCCCUGCUGUCCUGUAGGCCCUCGUCCCUGAGACCUCCCUGGGCGGGACUGAGGGGGCGUGCCUGGGCUAAGGCGGUACCUGGCUCCGCCCCAGGGACAACAUCGAGACCCUAGCUUUGGAAUUGGACUUCUGGACUGAGCACAGGAAUGUCUCUGUGAGCUCGGGGGGGAAGAGCUUCAUCGUGAGUCACUAUUCUGUCCCUUAUGGGGGACCCAGGUAAAGAGCUGCCCUGUCAGCCUCUCAGUCUCUCAUUGUUCACUCUGGUUUGAGGGCCAGUGACUUAGCCCCACGUCUCGGAUGGUGAUGCUGAGGGGGUGGGUGCCUGUGUUGUCAGAAAAGCAGUGCCAAUGGGAGCCAGGGGAGCAGCGUGGCCCCCCCACUGGCGCAGUUCUCUCCCAGCGUCUUCCUACCUGGCCAGGCUGCGUAGCGACCACAUGAAGGCUGCAGAGGAAACUUGCCCCAAGGUACUGGCCAUGCAGUGGCUGCGUCCUGCUCUGCUGGGCCGUCCCUGGGGAAGAAGAGGCCCCAGAGGACAGAGACAGCAGACAGGGCACCACCAGGAUCGCGGGCAGUGGCACGAAGAGAGGACCGCUGUGGGUGAGCUCUGUCCAGGCCAGAGGAGAAGGAGAGCUGGCAGAGUGAGGAUAUGGAGGACAGGACGACAGACCAGGAAGACCACGGUGGGGGCUUUUCUCCUCUGUAGCAUGGCCACCAGCCUGCAUUGUAGGGUCCCCCUGCCCUCCUCCCAAGGCAAGACCGACCUGCUCCCCAAGGCCGGGAGCAAGACAAGGAGCCUCUCGGCCCCUCCCUCUGCACUCCUGCUCAAACCACAGCCAUCUGAGGACCAAAAACACCUCUCUCUCUUUCUUUUUAACCCCGAGUUGCCUGAAAGAUGUGCGUGGUCGGGCUGGGCCUGUGUCACGAGGGCUGCCUGCAUACACGGGAGGGCGGGGGACGACUCCUGGGCACUGGCUCUCAGACACUGCACGUUUCUCUAUUUCUGCACAUGGCAGCAAUUUUUGCAGAAAGGGUGAAAAGGGCGCAUCUGGGCCCAGGCACCAGCCUGCUGCAGCUGCCUGUGGCUGCCUCUGCCCGCCUCUGCCCACCCAGGGCAACCUCUUGUUCUCACCUCAACCACUGUGACUUCCUCUCCCCGUGGGAACAGGGUCAGGGGCUCCCGCCGCACCCAGACUCCUGGGCAUCUCCCUGCCCGGCCAGGAGUCUCACAACCACAGCUCAGUGUCAACAAAAUUCAGUGCUCCCAACUCAUGGCCCUGUAAGCAAUGUGAUUAGCAGUGUUUGUAAGUGUCCACGAGAGAUGCUUUAAGUCAGAACCGGGUCCCAGGAGACCCUGACUGAAGACCUGACUAUGCCAUUACAGGCCCUGUGCCCUGGGCCACUCACUCUAUCAUCCUAGGCCAUUGCUACAUAAAUUGAAGGCUUUGUUCUCCAUUAGGGGUUACAAACUCCAAUUCUAGUAACACAAAUGUGCAGAAAUAUGUGGGGGCAAGGGAACAAACAGUACAAGAGCAUCUUCUUGGGGAGUUAGGAGAACUGGGGUGAGAAAAUGCACUUUACUCUAUAAAGAAGCUCCCCGCCUCAGAAGGUGGUUGACACAAGGGAAUGUGGGCUCCUUAUUUGCUAGAUAUUCUGAUUAAAAAUUUUUUUUGAUGUUUUUAUUUAUUUUUGAAGGGGAGAGAGAGAGAGACAGAGCAUGAGC